rnacentral:rRNA from 1 species
GACGAACCGUACGAACGUUAUUCGGAAUCACUGGGCUUAAAGGGUGCGUAGGCUGUGCGGAAAGUUGGGUGUGAAAUACCUCAGCUUAACUGAGGAACUGCAUUCAAAACUGCCGUGCUAGAGGAAGAUAGAGGUGAGCGGAACUUAGGGUGGAGCGGUGAAAUGCGUUGAUAUCCUAAGGAACACCGGUGGCGAAAGCGGCUCACUGGAUCUUUUCUGACGCUGAGGCACGAAAGCUAGGGUAGCGAACGGG